GCCUUCGUGGUCUAGUAGUAUGAUUCGCCCUUCGGGAUUUGUCCCGUAAGCUUUAUGUGGCCUGCUUACAUAAGAAUAGCUUACGUAAUCAAUUGGGUGAGGUCCUGGGUUCAAUUCCCAGCGAGGGCC